UUGCUGAAUUUUCAUUUCCUUUCAAAUUUUUGCUGUGUCCAGUUCCGGAAGAUCUGUGGCGUCACGAAUCCCAUUUCAAAAUGCCGUCCGUCGGCGCACAAAAUUUCUGCUUCAAUAGGUCCCCGCCACUUUUUCUUUAUAGCUUCCG
ensembl:ncRNA Y38C1BA.5 ncRNA